GGACCUACACAGAGCCAGAUCCUCAGUGUCACUCGUCUCCCUCCUGCACAUUUUGUCCCCCUGGAAGAUCUUCAGAGUUAGUCACAACACAUGGAGCUGUGGUUUCCUGUGACAGUGCCUAGAAAAUCAUCAUUUUUACCCACUACAAGAUUUCAACACCCUUUUAAGCCGUUUGUGAGUGAAGUCUUACCCCGGAGCUGAUGCUAUUGAAGAGAGACAAGGGAUUUUUUUUCUUCAAAUUAAGGACAUAGGGGCCCGGGCGUCACACCGCCAGGCAGGAGCUCUGUGUUGGCCUGCCCUGCCCGUAGGCCUGUGUUCUGUGACAGUAUCAGAAAGUGGACUAAGAUCCCCUUCCACUCCCCUACCCCACCAGAAAAAUAAAAGCUGAGGUCUCGUC